GACGAACGCUGGCGGCGUGCUUAACACGUGCAAGUCGAACGGAAAGGCCCUGCUUUUGUGGGGUGCUCGAGUGGCGAACGGGUGAGUAACACGUGAGUAACCUGCCCUUGACUUUGGGAUAACUUCAGGAAACUGGGGCUAAUACCGGAUAGGAGCUCCUGCUGCAUGGUGGGGGUUGGAAAGUUUCGGCGGUUGGGGAUGGACUCGCGGCUUAUCAGCUUGUUGGUGGGGUAGUGGCUUACCAAGGCUUUGACGGGUAGCCGGCCUGAGAGGGUGACCGGCCACAUUGGGACUGAGAUACGGCCCAGACUCCUACGGGAGGCAGAAGUGGGGAAUAUUGCACAAUGGGCGGAAGCCUGAUGCAGCAACGCCGCGUGCGGGAUGACGGCCGUCGGGUUGUAAACCGCUUUCGCCUGUGACGAAGCGUGAGUGACGGUAAUGGGUAAAGAAGCACCGGCUAGCUACGUG
rnacentral:rRNA from 1 species